GACGAACGCUGGCGGCGUGCUUAACACAUGCAAGUCGAACGAAGUGGCGAACGGGUGAGUAACGCGUAAUCAACUUGCCCUUCAGAGGGGGACAACAGUUGGAAACGAAUGCUAAUACCGCAUACUGAAGGAGGGGUUUGCGUCGGAUUAGCUAGUUGGAGGGGUAACGGCCCACCAAGGCGAUGAUCAGUAGCCGGGCUGGGAGGAUGAACGGGCAAAUGGGGACUGGGACACGGGCCAGACUCCUACGGGAGGCAGCAGUGGGGAAAUUUCCGCAAUGGACGAAAGUCUGGCGGAGCAACGCCGGGGGAGUGAUGACGGCCUUCGGGGUGUAAAGCUCUGUUAAUCGGGACGCGGUACCGGAAUAGAAAGCCACGGCUAACUACGUGCCAGCCGCCGCGGUAAUAC
rnacentral:rRNA from 1 species